AUUGAACGCUGGCGGCAUGCCUUACACAUGCAAGUCGAACGGCAGCACGGGAGCAAUCCUGGUGGCGAGUGGCGAACGGGUGAGUAAAGUAUCGGAACGUACCUUUCAGUGGGGGGAUAACGUAGCGAAAGUUACGCUAAUACCGCAUAUUCUGUGAGCAGGAAAGCAGGGGAUCGCAAGACCUUGCGCUGAUUGAGCGGCCGAUAUCAGAUUAGCUAGUUGGUGGGGUAAAGGCCUACCAAGGCGACGAUCUGUAGCGGGUCUGAGAGGAUGAUCCGCCACACUGGAACUGAGACACGGUCCAGACUCCUACGGGAGGCAGCAGUGGGGAAUUUUGGACAAUGGGGGCAACCCUGAUCCAGCCAUGCCGCGUGAGUGAAGAAGGCCUCGGGUUGUAAAGACUCUUUCGGUCCGGGACGGAAAUACGCACGGGCGUAAUAUACCUGUGUGGAUGACGGUACCGGAAUAAGAAG
rnacentral:rRNA from 1 species